AUGGAGGGAUUGCCCAGUGUAACCCACAAGCUCAGGCCGUAGUCAGUACUGAAUCAAAUUCACAGGGACAGGAAGGGAUGUGGGUGGGGCCAGGGGGGACCAGGAGGGAGGCUCAGGAAAAAUGGCCAAGAGGUGAAAUGUGUCCCAAGUCCAUCAUGAGGGAAACCUUCCUAACAAAGAGCCUGGAGCCAGUUCCCCAGGGCUAGAUACCCUCUCUGGGACUGGACUCAAUGAUUGCUAAGAGAUUCUUACAGCUUCUUGCAAAGAAAUGCGGGAAGGAAAGAUUUUGAGUUUUAAUGGUUCUAAUUUGUAUUUUUUGCUUAUUUCACUUAGCAGGAAGAGGCUUCUGGCAUGGAAACAACUGAUUUCAUAGAGAACCUGCAGCUGGAUUCAAGUUCAACCCAGAAAAACAGACAGUGAGGGCUACCCAAAGUUUGAGGAGGGAUUGCAUUUGUUCCAGCCUCAUGAGUCACACAUUAUUACACCACCCUUGUGGGACAACUUCCAUAAGUCUUUUUGGGGGAGUGACCUGCCAGAGUUUCUUGUGGGGAAGGGCUUAGAGUAUGGCUCUUUCUUUGUAGGAAUAAUUUGAAGCCUGGGAUGCUGCUAUCAUUUUUACAGAGAGUUUUUUCUUCUUCUGACAGAUGCUGCUGGCAGUACCAGCCUGGGACACCAUAUUCCAAGUUCACAGCUUGAGUUUCCCUGGAUCAACCUGACAACAUGAAGCUAAGUUCCAAGUCCAUGGAGGGUUGGUUUACUUCAGGCUCACCCUUAUUCUGAGAGCAUAGCCCUUCAGAGUUAGUGUAAAGGAGAUGAGGGGACCUAUUUGGGUCCCCAACUUUGGUGGCGCUGGGCUGUGACUUUUGUCUGUGAGCCAUCAGACGGGCAGUGUGUUUAUGAGCACAUUCAUUUGGAUCCACCAGUGGCCUCAAGGCAAAAGUGGCUUUGAGUGCUGGGCUUACUGUCCUGCGUUCUCUUCUCUAUGACUGACUCUACCCUGUCAUUCUUCACUGUCUUGUUAUUCUUGUUAUCUCUUAGACGUCUUUAAGAAGACUAUUCUUUUUUUUUUUUUCUUUUGAGAAAUGUGGCCUUGCUUUGUUGCCCAGGCUGCUGUGCUCAAGCGAUCCUCCUGUCUCAGCCUCCCAAAGUGCUGGGAUUACAGGCAUGAGCCACCGUGCCUGACAUUUAUUUAUUUAUUUAUUUAUUUAUUUAUUUAUUUUCGAUGUCCCACCCUGCUUUCGUAACUGUCCUCAGAGGAUAGUUCCAAUGGCCUUGUGGGCCAUUUCGAGAAGGGGAAAUCUUAGCUACUUUUCUCCACCUUUCCUCGUGGUGGGGCUUCUUGCCAGCUUCAGAGAUGUACAGGCUGGGGAAAGUGGAGUGCAGCAGAGCCUGGGAGAGGGGAAAGGGCGGAGGGGAAUGUGGCUGUGCCCUAGGGUGUGAGUGGAGGAGGUUGGUGCUUUUGGUCUACCCAGAAGAGCCUCCAGAACUGGCAUCUACAUUCAUCUGCCACGGAGUCCAUAUUUCUUGAGGGGCUUGGCAGAUAGGGACAACCCAGAAAGAGAGAGGAGGAGUCACGAAUGCCAGAGUGGCCUGCAGAACUCAGAGGAUCAGAGAGCGGGGGCGUCAAGCACCAGGGAGGCCCCUCUGCAGACCAUGCUGAUGGCCUGUGGGACAGAAGUCUUUCUUUCUUUUCUAACGAUUACCUUGGCCUUAGACUUUUACCAUUUUUGGAUGCCAAGGAAAAUCAGGCUUCUGAGCUUGCGAAGGCUGAGCGGAGUUCCGUGUGUCUCCUCUGGCCUUCAUAUGGCUUCCAGGAAGAAGCAUCCCCUUUAAUUUCAUAAUUCUACAGGUCUUCUGUCAGUUCGUAAGAAAUCUAUCUAUUCACUUACUCAUUUCACAAAUAUUUACUGAGCACCUGCUAUGUGCCGAGUCCUAUUCUGGGCACUGAGGACAUACCAGCCUCCAAAACAGACAGAAAGAAAAAGCCCGCCCGUGUAGAUUUCACAUUCUCAGGAAUGUUGCCCUGCAUGAGGAUAUGUUUAGAAAUCUCUCACUCGCCUAAGUCAUCAGGGUAAGAGUUUGCUCUGCUGGUACUACAGGUUCCACAACUGCCUGCCAGGUUUACUUGCUUUUGUGCAAGGAAGAUUUUCUCUCCAGUACUCGUAUUUUCCAACAGCCCAAGGUCCAUGGAGUUUCUUUAGCUUCUAUCACUAGCCUUCUAGGAGUGGGCAGAUCCCUCUGCCAAAUUUACACCUGCAGGGUGAGGCAGGUUGCAUAGCAAACCAGAGCUCAGUGUUGGGGCCCACAAGGCUUCCAUCAAGGGAAGAAUGCUGGUGGAGGGUGAUGGGUGGGUCUCUCUAGAUGUUCAGAGGGGCCUGUGGCUUAUUGCCUGGGUGGGCCAAAAUGUCAGCUAAGGGAACUACAGCAGAAGCUCAUUUAGCUGGAAAGUUAGGAUCUGAGACCAGGUAAUGACUUUGCUGGGGUUUAGAUGUCUGUCUAACUUCACUGGGUACAGAGAUUGAAAAAACACUUGAUCCAGUCACAAUAUCUUCUGGAUACAUUCAUUUGCAUUCUCUUUCUCUUACACAGAUUUAGAAAUGGAAUGCAUAACGUAUUUGCAUGAUUGCAAUUUAUCACUUCCCCAGGGAGCAGGGAGGGGCUGCCUCAGUUCUAGUGAAGCUCCUGUGCCCCAGCGUUAGAGGUAGAUGGGUGAGGCAAGGGCGAUUUCAUGCCUUCCUUGAGGCAAGAUGUCCUCUUCUAGACAAGAGGGCAGCUUGUGUGUCUUGAGGGCCAUGCUUCUCCACCUACCCCCAUGAAUAAAGCAGUUAGUGGGGGUCCCCCAGGUGUGGCUAUUUUUGGGGAUAUUUUAACAGGAAUGCAGAGAGGCUAUAGAUCAGAUUCGACAAUUUGCUGCCUGCCAAGACACACUUUACUUGUGUUUUAAAAUGUAAGCUCUGGAAACAUCCUAUAGGGUUCACAAGGACGCCUUAGCAGCUGACUGAAGGAAGUGUCUCUCUCCAGCCCAGGUAGCAUUUCUGCCAGUCAUGGCUGGUGCUGGGCUGACAACAGUAGUUUUCUUUCUAAGACCCAGUUCCCCUCUGGAAGGAGAAUUCUAAAGGUGGAGGAAAAGCAUCAUCUCUUCUAGAACCUCUUUGUUUUUAAUCUUUCUUAUACCACAUUAGCAUGGUGGUAUUCUCCAAGGAUCUUGGCAGGCAAGAACUGGUUUGGUUACUGUAUUUGUUUGCUUUUGCGGAGUCCAGUAAAGAGGACUAUUGUUUCUAGAAGGCCACUGGAAACAUGCCUCUGGCUCUCUGGCAAGCACAACAUUAAGGCCAGUGUGAGGCUGAGGGUGUCCUGAAGCCCUGCUCUGAGAUAAGAAGACUUCUGUUCAUGAUUUCAGUCAGAAUCAAACAAGGUAUGCCCAGAGCUGAGACACAGCUGAGCCAAGCAGGAAGAGAGGCCUGUGUCCUACAAUAAACUGCUGAUAUGUAUCUCUCUACCAUGUGCUGAAUUCAUUAGGGCAAGGGCUGGGUUCUUCUCCAGCAUUCGUAUCCCAUCUCUUUCCAGUAGCUGGACUAUUUAGGAAACUCUCAGUAGGUUUUUGUGAAUUAAAUUGUGUCCUCAGAUACCUCCUUAGAAUUUCCAAAUCUAUCUUCAAAUUCAAACGGAGAUACACAUAGCAGAGGCUGACACCUCCAAAAGAGUUUGGAGGAAGUUUACCAAUAUGUUACCCUUCGUUCACAUUUCCACCUUAUUCUCUCUUUCCCUCGGUUAUUACUACUCAGAAUUGUAAGUAGUUGGGUGUCUAGUCACUCAGUUGGCUGAUAGAAGAAAACUCAGUUCUUUGAAAUUAUGUCAGGGUGGACCAAACUGCAGUACAAAUAGACGCAAAAUAUAAUGGUUCAAACACAAGGGAUGUUUAUUUCUUUCUCACAUAAUAUUCCAAGGCAGACAUUCCAGAUUGUUGGAGUAGGCGCAGGGGAGAAAGUUCGGCUCUAUGCGUUCCCUCAGGAAACAGGCUGAUAGUGGCUUUGCCAUAUUCCAAUAUUAACUGGCUUCCAAAGUUGCUAUCACCAUUGUCAUUAUCAGUAUAGCUCAUGGGACCUGGGGAAGAACACAGAGGAGAACAUCUGGGAGGUCUUAUGGCCACUUGGAAGCGGCGUGCACCUCUUCUGCUCACAUGGGAAAGAACGUAGACACACUCAAACAUCCUGACUGGGAAGUGGGGGAGUGUACCUAGCCACCUUGGAAAUGGAGGAAAAUUUGGGUGGGAGUAGAGAGACUCAGGUUCUUGGAUUUGGAAGAGAUCUUAAGUGUGAACACAUCCAAUGGCCAACCCAGGAUAAGCACUGGCCUUCCUGCUGGAUCGCUCCCUGCCCCCAUAAUGUAUCUCAGCUGACUUUCUGAUCUAGGAAUACUAAGCAUCAAUCAGUGGAAGGAAAGCAGGAAGGGUCUCUUCUUUCAAAUACAUUCUUUGCCACUUGACAAAAUGUGAUGAUACAGAAGAGGGAGAAGAUGAGUCCAGAGAAGCUGCCUGCAUGGGGAAACUCGUGCUUUGUGGCCCUGUGAGGUUGAGAUUGUGCCUCACAGAAGGGGCUACUUCACUGAUGAUGUUACAGGAUACCUAAAAACCGCAGUUACUGCUUGAAUCAUAACUGCUGCUUCCAGUUGACUGUGGUUGCAUUUCUAGAAGGACAACUACUUUUUGUCAUUUUGGAAACAAGCCAACAUCAACCCACACAUGACUUUAGAAGGCUUUUCCGCGUCCUAAUUGCCUACCUCCUGAAUAGGCUUUCUUUUAAGCUUGGUUGGCUUAACUUCUCCCAUCCAUGCCAUUUCUACACACCCUCUCCAUACUCCCACCAUAACUUUCUUAGGCAAACCCUGCAGUCCUGACUUAGGUAUCUGUUGAUUGCAUUUGGACUCUCAUGUUCCUGCCACUGCCCUUGAGCUCUUAUUUCACCUUGUGCAGACCACCCCAGUCAUCUCACCCUCUCUGUAGGUCACUUGUGGGCACUUAUCCAUUGCCUGGAUUAUUGCAUAUGUUUGUUCAAUAUUAAUCAUGUCUUCUCUGUGAUAUUGUAUACUCCUUGAGCAUUCGGGACUUCCUCAGGCUUGAGCGUGGUGCAGUGAGCAUUCUGUACACAUUUCUGGACAAUGGCAGUCUUGUGAGAACCUGGGAGACUCUGCAGUGACUUGAGCCGGAGGUGUAGAUGAAUGUAAUUGUUGGAUGGUGGGGAUUGGUAAAACCCCUCUAGUGGUAGCUAGGAGCGGAAGAGGAGACUCAGCAGCAGGAGAGAACAAGAGGAAGGGCUCCCAACUACACUCAGCAUCAGUGAACCCCACCGUAGCUGGAUCAUAUCUGAAUUGGCCACACCCUGGGGCCUUAGACUGUCUGGGCAAUGGCAGGGUGCUGGCAAUUGGAGGGAUGCUGCUAGAGGCUGACAGUGUUCUUACUGGAAACGCUCAGCUCAAUGGAUAGGACAACAGCUUCCCAAGGAGAUGGGGGAGCAAGGCCAAGUGAGGAAAGCAGGACUUGCGGAGGGCUUUGGGCCACCUCACCUACUUUCCCUGCUUCUUCCCCCCAGGGGCCUUGCAGACAGUGCUUCUUGCCCAGAGAGAGUAAAGGGUGGGAUGGUGAGAGGGCAUCAUUCAUUUCUUGUGUCUGAGGUGAAUGAGUGUGAGAUGAGCUCCGGCUCACUCUCUUCAAGUUGAAACUUAAAGGACUCCCAGCUGCCCCUACACUCCAGUCAUUCAUGGAGUGAGUGCCAGGCUCAUCUCUAUUUGAAACUCAGGGUCUGUCUGGAAGCCCAGAAUUCCUGAGCAAUUGUUUUAUGCGGUAUAAAGUGUUUCUUCAGCAGGGAGGAUGAUGCGGGGCAAGGCGAAGGCUUAGAAAAGACAGUUCUACGGCUGGGCGCGGUGGCUCACGCCUGUAAUCCCAGCACUUUGGGAGGCCGAGGCGGGCGGAUCACGAGGUCAGGAGAUCGAGACCAUCCUGGCUAACAUGGUGAAAACCCGCCUCUAGUAAAAAAAAAAUACAAAAAAUUAGCCGGGCGAGGUGGCGGGCACCUGUGGUCCCAGCUACUCCGGAGGCUGAGGGAGGAGAAUGGCGUCAACCCGGGAGGCGGAGCUUGCAGUGAGCCGAGAUCGCGCCACUGUACUCCAGCCUGGGGGACAGAGCGAGACUCCAUCUCAAAAAAAAAAAAAAAAAAAAAAAAAAGGAAAGGCAGUUCUACUGUGCAAAUUGAGUUCAGACCUGGAUAGGAAAUAGGGGAAACAAGCCACAUGCCUCGUAGUGGGUUCCCUGGGAAAUUCCCUCCUCUCCUAAUGUCUUUCCCACAGGCACCCCCCACCCCGGUGGGCUAUGAGAUUUUGCCCCCUCAACCUGAGAACCGACAGGGGGUAAUCAGGGUGAGCGCUGGAGAAGCACACGUGAGAUUCUGAAGAAGCACAAUUGAGACUCUGGAGACCUCUGUAGCAUGAACUCUCUGCUGAGACCAUUCAACUUGUGCCUUUCUUACGGCCCAAGUUCCAGCAGCACAUUUUCCAGUGUGGGACCCCUCUUCCCUGGCAGCAGCUCUGCCAGAGCCCUGGGUGUUUACUGUGGCACACCGUAGUGAAACGGGGAAGGAAGUCAAGUCCAUCAUGACAUAUCUUAGUUCUGGCCAUUUCUAACACCUAAGAAGAGGCUGACAGAGUGCCCGAGGGCCCCAGGGACAGCACCCAUCUCCCAAGGGGGUGCUUUUUAGAUUUCUACUUGCCACCCAGCUGUGAGGUAUGAAAUAAUUUAGUGGGCCUUGCACAAUUUAGAGUAAAAGGAGAAUAGAAAAUUUCAGCAUGCCUGGCACAUAGCAGGGUAAGUAUUGUUUUGUGAAACUUACAUUCCUCUUUAGGUACACCAAUAGGUGCAAUGCGUACCCACAUAAGAUGUAUUUCUUAUUGUGGUCCUGGUUAAAAAAACCAUCCAAGUGGUUCUAUUACAGCAUCUCAGUUGAUUGCAAGUAUUCAGGGAGUGAGGGUGGAGCACAGAAUGGGAGUGGGGAGGAAGGUCCCAAAGAACGGGUUGAACUUUUCUGUCUGCCUCCUGAGCUAAACGUAGUCUCCCCACCACCCCCUGAGGAUUUAAGGGCCUUUGACUCAGCCUUUUGAGGCCUGAGAGACCACCAAGAGCCUUGGGCUUUGAAUACUUCUUGCAGCAGGCCCUGCCAAAAGUACCCGGGUGGGAAGGGCUGCCCUUUAAGAACUUGAAUUUAAAGGACUUUAGUGGUUAGUUGUAAAAGUAAAUGGCGUACCAAGGGCUUUUAUUUAUCCCUAGAACUCCUGUAAUUUCCAAGAUGCAUAGACUGGAAGAAGAUAGCCCUGCUACUCGAAAGAAAGGAGGAGAGGAGAGGUUGUCCCACCUUGCUCCUGCUCUCCCUCCCUUUCCCAGGCCUCCCUCUGUCUCUUUCCCUUGUCCCUAGCAGGGAAGGAGAUUGGAACAGGCGGCCUUUGGGAAUUGUGGGACCCUCUUCCUGAUAGGUUAGAUCCACAGUGUCCCAGGAAGACCCUACCUGGGCAGCGAAUAGUGUCUCUAGGGGGCGGAAGUUUCCGCCAGGUGGGACCUUUGGUCACAUGGCCUCACACGGUUUAUGUCUCAGAGCGACAGGUGUCGCUUGUCAUAAGACACAAGAGUAAAAAGCAAAGAAGAACAGACAAAGGCAGGUCCUCAAGGGAGGUGGGCUCUGCAGGAUUCCGUAAGAGCCAAAAAGGCGCAACAAGGGAGCCCAGUGGCACUGGUAGGCUUCUGAGCAUAGGCAUUCCAGGGCUUUGUUAUUAUUUUUUCCAAAUGAAAACUGCUUUAGAAGAUCAGCUGUCAUAAUCUGCCCAAGCUACAAGCUCAAAUGUGGCUAAGAAACAUUGCUCAAGGUCAUUUCCAAAAGCACGUUCUUCCAGCUUUUCAAGGUCAGGGGUGGGGAUUUGUGUUCUGUUCUCAUUUUUGCUUGUGUCUUUGCCCGUGGUUGAACUGAAGAAGUCUCUCCAGGCCCAGUGUUUACUGGAAGAAGGGGAGAUUGGAAUUAUCCCCAGCCACUCUUCUCUCAAGAACUGAUGGGGAAUGGUGGGUCCCUGCCCCACUUGUCCUUGUGAGAGGGAGGCAGGUGUGCUUGUACCAGAAAGAGUUCUCGAGGGCUUAGCACCCCAGGAAUGCAUCUAUGCCAACUUUGUUUAUCAUGACUCCCCACCUUCAAUAUACAUCUUAGGGUCACCGCAUAUCCCAGAAAGUGGCAACACCGGGGCAUCCCUCGAUGUGCUGACUAUCCAGAGUCACGUUCUUGGAAUGCGUGACCAGUGCGUAAUUUAAGCAAAUGGAAUCUUUCCCAAAUGUCUUCUUUUACAACUGAAAAAACAAAUUAAGCAACAGAAGAAAAACAAAUCCAGAGAAAUAGCCUCUUCCAGGGAAGUCUGACCUCCCUGUCUAGAAGGUGAGGACAGUGCUGCGGCCGUGUUUCUGCUGACUCCAGCCCAGGGCUGUUUCCCAGACAGCUGCUGUCCCACUGAGUUAGGUUCAAGUGAACAUGGCCAUUGAGAUCCAAAGUAUUUCUGGCUGGUUCGGGCAUGGGUCCUUUCUCUAGAUGAAUAUUUUAAUGUGGGAAUUCAGAGGAAAGCUACGGGGAAAGCAAUGUUGGUCAACUGGUGACACUAAAGAAAAACCUUCAAUGGUUUUCACGGCUAGUUUGGCACGGAAGGCUCUUUGCUGUUCUGACCUGAAGCUCUCUGUUAGGACUUCCUAUUAUUUUUCUCACAAGCCCUCGUUCUCGCUGACAGUUCAGAUCAUGCCCUGUGCAUCUCCAGUUCCCCCGGUAGGCACGGCUCCUCCUGUCACCUCAAUGCCCCCCUUUCCGCUCGGCCCAUGUUGGGACCCUCUUUCUCCUCCCAGUCCAUUAGUCAUUUCUGUUUACACUGGACUCUUGCUACCUCUUGUUUUGGCUUAUGUUUAAUCUUACUUUUUUAAAGCAACAUCUUCUGAUUAUGAAAUAAUUUAUACUUUUUUUUGCAGAGAAUGUGGAAAAUACAGAAAAGUAUAAGGAGAAGCAUAAAAAUUAUUCACAGUUGCACCCUUGGAGGGAGCUGUCCUAUACAUCUUGGUGAAUUUGCUGCCCUUCUUUUUUCUGUAUAUCUAUCUAUUACAUGUGAUAGUUUUUAAAGCUGAUGUCAUGUUAUUGAUGUAUUUUUGUUUCUUGCUUUAUCCAUUUAAGAUUAUAACGUGAGAAAUUUCCUCGCUGGGGCUCUUCCCAAACCUGAUAUUUACUGACCACACCAAUAUUCUAUUGAAUGAGGGAGUGUCAUAAUUGAAUUACUUACAGUUUCCAGAAACGUUGUGCUCAUUUACACUUUCCUUAGCAGCAUAUGAGGGUGUAUGAAUCCCAUCAUCACAAUGCAAUGGAAUUAGGGGGAAAUGCCAGUGAAAGAUGAAGAGAGAGGGGGCAGGACUAGCAGGAGCGCCUCAGACACUCAUUUCUGCAGGCAAGAAAGGAGAGGAUCCUGUGGAAGGGUCUCCCCCUGCUGUGCGAUUCUAAAAGCUUUGGGCAGGGGAUAGGGGGUCUCCAAACCAAAGCCUGGUGGCCAUUCUGUGACAGGCAGGAGCGGGCUGCUAUGAGGACCCUGGUCAUGUUGAAGCUUUGGCUGGGGGUCACCAAGGGGUGGAUAGCUGGAGCUGUCAGUCAACUCUGCUUCCCAGGGGCAGAUUCUCUCAAAGGAGACCAGAACUACGUACCCCCUGCUCCCCCAGGCCCACCCCACUUCACCUGAUAAACGGGGAAUAUAAUUAAAACAUGUAAUUAUGAACUGUGAAAAUGGUCUCAUUUUGCUGGUUUGCAUUCUUCUGAUUAACCUUGAUGUCAAACAUUUCUCAUGAAUUUUGUUACAUACUUGUACUUAUAAGAAUUGUGUGCCUGGGUUCUCUGUUUGCCCGUGAUUGUUUUCCUCAUUGAUGUUUUAAGAGGAUUUGCAGCAUUAAGCCUGUUAGCUCUUUCUCCAUUCUCUUUAAUAUUUUAACCAAUUUAUCACUUCUCUUUAUAUUUUAUGUAGCAUGCUUGGAUGUUUUAAAAUAACUCACUCUUCUGUUAAGAUGACUUUUAUUUACUUCAUGUUCAGAAAAUUCUUGCUUAUCCAGGCUCUAGUUAAAUAUAUGCCAGUAUUUUAUUCUAGAUACUUUUGGAUUCUUUUUUUUACGUUUAAUACGCUGGGGUUUUAUUUCAGUGUAUGGUAUUAGGGAGGGGUCAAACUUGAUUAUUUUUCCCUCUUUUAGCCACAUUUUCCAAUUUUACUUUCAGAUAAUGUAACCAUUAACCACUUCUUCCUGGUGAUUCCUUUCUCAGAUUUCAGUUUUUAAAAUAUGUAUGAUAGAUGUCAGGACUAUCUGGUUCUACUUCAUUGGAUGAUCUACAGAAUCUUGUACCACCAGCACCACACUAUUUUAAUUAUUGUAUCAAGAAUAAUACAGUUAGAUAUCUCUUAGGGACAGUAUCUCCUUGAUAUUCUUUAAGCAGUUCUUAACCCUUCUCAUCCUUUUUCUUCCUUCCAGAUGGACUUUCAUUGAAUUCAAAGAAAAAAAAAAAGAUUCCACUGGGAUUUAAUUCAGACUGCAUUUUACCUAAAAAGUACAAGGAUUAACAACAAGGAUUAAUAGCAUUGCUGCAUUCAAUAUUGCAACCCAAGAGUUUGAAAAGUCGUCAGCGUGUAGUCCUGUUACCUUAAUUGUUUCUGAGUUAUGGGUUGAAUUUAUUUUGAAAUUUCAAAAAACUAUAAAGGAUAGCAUGUUAUUUUCGUGUUAAUCAAAAUGAAGAAUGGGUUUAAAAAGCUUGAACAAUGUCAUCUUGGGAGUGUCAAAUGAAUAGGAUGGCCUGUAUGUCAGGAGCAUGCCCACACUUUUCUUGACAGAGUGAGUUUAUUGUCCCUGAUGAAUCCCAGGAGUACUGGUCCAUGAUGCUGUUAUUCCCUGGUGCUUUAACAUGCAGUACAGCUGGAGUCGGCCUGAACUUUAGGAAAUGAGGUCAUAAGUCGAAAGGACAUGGAAUUGAGAAAGCACACAGGAGCAGCCAGGGCCAACAUUUUCCCCGAAACAAGCCAAUCAACAAAAAGCACUGCCAAACAAGCCCCUUUGAAACUUUCAAAGUCCUCAUCCUAGCACCUUCCUAGCGCUCUAGGAGACAUCUUUCAGCUGUUGAUUUUUUUUUUUUUAAUUAUUGUACUUUAAGUUCUAGGGUACAUGUGCACAAAGUGCAGGUUCGUUACACAUGUAUCCAUGUGCCAUGUUGGUGUGCUAAAACCAUUAACUCGUCAUUUAGCAUUAGGUGUAUCUCUUAAUGCUAUCCCUUCCCCGUCCCCCCACCCCACAACAGUCCCCGGAGUGUGUGAUGUUCCCCUUCCUGUGUCCAUGUGUUCUUAUUGUUCAAUUCCCACUUAUGAGUGAGAACAUGCGGUGUUUGGUUUUUUGUCCUUGCAAUAGUUUACUGAGAAUGAUGAUUUCCAGUUUCAUCCAUGUCCCUACAAAGGACACGAACUCAUCAUUUUUUAAUGGCUGCAUAGUAUUCCAUGGUGUAUAUGUGCCACAUUUUCUUAAUCCAGUCUAUCGUUGUUGGACAUUUGAGUUGGUUCCAAGUCUUUGCUAUUAUGAAUAGUGCUGCAAUAAACAUACGUGUGCAUGUGUCUUUAUAGCAGCAUGAUUUAUAGUCCUUUGGGUAUAUACCCAGUAAUGGGAUGGCUGGGUCAAAUGGUAUUUCUAGUUCUAGAUCCCUGAGGAAUCGCCACACUGACUUCCACAAUGGUUGAACUAGCUUACAGUCCCACCAACAGUGUAAAAGUGUUCCUAUUUCUCCACAUCCUCUCCAGCACCUGUUGUUUCCUGACUUUUUAAUGAUGUCCAUUCUAACUGGUGUGAGAUGGUAUCUCAUUGUGGUUUUGAUUUGCAUUUCUCUGAUGGCCGGUGAUGAUGAGCAUUUUUUCUGUGUUUUUUGGCUGCAUAAAUGUCUUCAGCUGUUGAUUUAUGAACCCUGAGAGGCAUGUGGAGGAAUUAAUGGAGGUAAAUGUCUAACUUAAAAAAUCUUCAGUAGGCAUUUUUAGACAAUCCCCUUUUAAAGAAAAGUGUGGAUGCUCUGUGCGUGUAUUGACUGCACCUAUAGGGGUAUAGCUGGAGAACACCUAGUGAGCAUCUUCAGGAGCCAAGUCACACAGGGGCUUAGCUCUCAGUCCAUUGCGACAGUUGCCAUGAUGCCUUCUGACCAUUAAACACUUUGAACUCUUUUCUUUCAUCCUCUAUUAUUUGCUUUAGACCCAUAACAGACUCAUUAGUUAAAAAUAAGAAGCAAGGGUAAUCCUGAUGAUGAAUUACAAGUUAAUGCAGAGCACAGACAUGAAAAUAAUUCUAUGGGUUUGCUGCAGCAUAAUCCUUGCCAGAUCUCCAAGUUCCAUUCAUCUAAUGAAAAGCCUUAGUUUGAAGAACAUUUUGGAGAACUCUUACAUCAAGAGGUCUCCAGUACCUCAAAAACCAGUGUUCAACAGGAAAAUGCACACGCAUUUCAGGGAGGUGGGAAUAAAAGCCUUCCUUUGCGCAGUGUGUUACAUGUGGAAAUGUGGAACGCACACGAUCAUUCUUACUGUUAAAAAACCCCACAAAGAUUAUAAAAAUACGUCAGUUUCUUUUUGGUGGAAAAACUCACACAAUUAAAAAUAUUAUACUAUGAAAGCAGCUUUGAUCUAUUCUUCAGUCAUUUCUGUGACGUGUGGUUAAAUUUUAAUCUGUUUAAAUUUUUUAUUUGAUUCUUCCAAACCAAACACAAUAUCUCAUUUUAAAACAUAUCUGCUGACAGUGGUUUUUCUUCUAGCCUGAAUCAUGCCGAAAACAGGUGUAACCAGAUGUCCUCUUAGCCUACAAACACAUUUCAGAAAAUCAUUAUAAGAUGCUCAACUUUGAGCAAAGUAGUUUCCUGUAUCCUUCAAAGAAAGACAUGUUUUCAAAAUGUCACCCCAGUAAAUAAAAGUGUUGACAUGCUGUGUAGGGCUAUUAGUUAUGGGGCCAGAAUUCAAAAUAGCUGAUUGGAAGUAGGGCCAGUUGUCUAUCAAAGUAUAUCUAAUUUAUGGCAACCAAAUCAUGUUAUCUGCAUAGAACAGAACUCAGCUCUCCCUACUUCUCUGUGAUGGGGGAUCUAUACUGUAUCUGGCUCAUCUAAAAGUGGUUCCAAAUCACUAACGAAUAUGAAUGGGUGUUAGACUAUGCUCCUAUUCACCCCCACUGGAAAAUCUUAUCUGAUAAAAGACAGUUUUGAUGUCCUUUGCUUUGAUGUUAAAAGUAUGGGCUUCCUGAAUACAUCAAUACAGGGAUCUGAACUGAUCUUAGCACAUUUCAAAGCAUUUCUUGUCAAUGGGAGUCAAAACUCAAUGCAAGCUACAGCCUCAUGUUAUUCCUAAAAUAUUUAUCUUUGGGGUAGUAAAUAGUAAGCCAAUUGUCCUUAGACCACUGCACUUAAAUCCUUGAUUCUUGUUUACAACAUUAGCUCAAGACAGCUAUAAUUGGAUGUAAUCAAGAAAGAAAUGGCCUCAAAAGUUAAAAAAAUUUAGAAUUACAAAAGCAUGAAAAUAGCUGCUUACUAUAAAAAUGUUAAAUAUGAGACUCUACAUAAUAAAAAGUGAAAGCUGUAAUUUACCUGCUCCCCAUCUCUCCUUCUCCCCAGUGCAACUCUCCUCCCUGGGUCUGCAGGACAAACUCUGGUCCUCUAGCAAGGAUUUAUUUUAUCUGAAGUUUAUUUAUGGCAAAGAGAUUUUUAUAAUUAAUACUGUGAUAAGACAUGGUACUCUUUGACCAGGAAUAUUUUUUGGGGUGUGGGGUUGGGGGUUAGGACUCGAGUUCUUAUGAAACAGUCACAAGGAGUUUAAUUAGAAGGCACAAUCACUUGCUAGGUAGCAAGAGAAAAAAUCCUGCCCCUCAGUGUUUCCUGGAGAUUGCUGUUGAGAGUCUGUGACAAAUCAACACACGGCCACUAUGGCUUGGUGUACUUACUUUCUUAAUCAUCCAAAUCAAGUAUUGCAAACAGCUAAAAAAAGAGUGAGAAAUGGAGCCAAAUGUGAUAUAAUCUAUGAUCUUGGCCCCAGAGUAGAAAUGAGGUUGGUUUUUUCAGAUUUAUACCAUGUACCACAUUGAACGUUAUCAAUACUGUGCAUUAAUACAAGGGUUGAGAGUUUUUGUUUCCAUUAAGAAUCUGUUUGCAGGAGAACAGCCCGUGGGAAAGUAUUGUCCUUUUCAACUACAAAUAUGGAGGGCCCCGUUGCCUAUGUUAAAAAAAAAAAUCUUAGAAUUUUGGCUUAGGCAAUAAACUCUUUAAUGGAACAUACAGAGUAAAUAAAAGAUUGCUAAAGGAAGACCACAGGCCCCAAGCAGACAGAAUGGACCAAACAUACAGAAGGAAUGUAAAUAUAGCUGACUUCAGUUUUAUUUUAUUUUAUUUAUUUAUUUAUUUUUUUUGAGACCAAGUCUGGCUCUGUCACCCAGGCUGGAGUGCAGUGGUGUGAUCUCGGCUCACUGCAGGCUCCGCCUCCCGGGUUCGUGCCAUUCUCCUGCCUCAGCCUCUGGAGUAGCUGCGGCACUACAGGCACCCGCUACCGCGCCUGGCUAAUUUUUUUGUAUUUUUAGUAGAGACGGUGUUUCACCCUGUUAGCCAGGAUGGUUUCGAUCUCCUGACCUCGUGAUCCGCCCACCUCGGCCUCCCAAAGUGCUGGGAUUACAGGCGUGAGCCACCGCGCCCGGCCUAUUUUAUUUUUAAAUUGAGAGAAGCUAAUUUCUUCCCUUGAAAAACCCACUUGAGCGUACCUCUUAGUUAUGCAGAAACAGAGUAAGCACUCGGUAUCUUUUACGUAUUUAAAGUGUUCCAGAACCUUCUGGGACUUGCCCUGAAUCUCCUGAAUGCAAAGCUAAUUAUAUGAGGAGGUGGGUCUACUUACAUAGGAGCUAGUGUCUUCUGGGAAAGACUCCAGCCCCUAGGUCCUGGUGUCCAAUGGUCCAAAGUCUUUUGGAAUGGAUAAGAGUGGACCAGAUUAAGGCACAAAAUAACAGCUUGAGAAAAGACUGGCGACCCAGGCUUACUGUACAAAGAAGGGGUAAGUUGGAGGAAAGGGUGGAAUUCUAGUACAAAAUGUGGUAGAGGUGGACUCAACCCUCUAACCCAGUGACAGGCAUACUGGAUGUGCUUUGGAAAUAGUAACUGUGUGUGUGUGUGCUCAAGGGAGCACCAUGUAUUGAGUUUAAUGCCAUGGAAGUCAAAAUACCAUCUUUCUUUGAAGCCUGCAGCCUGCACAGGGCCAUGCAAAAUCGUCACUGCUGGAUGAGCGGGAGUACAGGGACUGCACAGCAUCGUGUGUGUUCAACAGCGACACCAUGUGGCAGCGAGACAGAAGCUGUUGGAAUGCAGACCUCUUUCCCUGUGACAUUUGAAAGCAUCAACACGGUCUUCGCACGGGAGUCCAAUCAGCCAGAGAAGGGCAAAGCAAAUCGGGCCUUGUAUUAAAUUCCUGGAAGUCAAACUUCCUGGUCCAGUGAGGAACUUCUCAAGGGCCCUUGCUGGAGAAAGCGUGUUCAGCAAGAACGAAGGACAGCCUCCAGAUGGAUGAGCUUAGUGCAUCCUGAGCGGUGAGCUGACCGGGGCCCAGGUAAGCUGCACAACAGAUUCUGCUGGGGGAUAUCAGGGCAAAUGCCCACGUAGAUCCACCCCAGGGAGCAUUGCCUUCUUGUUCUAAAUUAACCUUAGAUUAGGUAGGAAUAAUUCUAGUUGUACAGUCAGAGGGGUGUACAAGCUGUAGAUUGGACACCAUUUUGGGCCUCAACUCUCUGGAGGGAUUUCUGAGCACCCUCCUACUUAGAGAGGAAGGCCUGGGAAGAAGACCCAAGCCAGCUUAGUAAAGGGCCAGGGGCAGGUAAAAUGUGAGUAAAGUUUUUAGAAUUAGGGUCUAAGUCAGCUAGACCUUUUCAAAAAUAAGCCAUAGAAAUGUAGGACAGAGAAGGGCCAAAAAUGGAAUAAAAAUCUACGGACCCAAGCUUUCUGCAUUUGCAAGGUUGUUGGAUGUUCUUGUCAUGUGGUUGCUGCAUUUCCCAUUAGCCUGGAGGCCACGGAAGCAGCCUUGGGACACAGGAAGCCCCAGUUACCAUCCCAACCCUAAAGGCUGCUUUUAGAUGGAGUAAACCUGAGCGUUACUUGCAGGAGAGCCCCAUUAUCUCACGUUUUGGAAGGCAGCUGGGAAGAAAGCAUGAUUCACCAACCAGCACAGCUGUUGAGGAAUCACAUUCAGCUGGAAAAGAGAGAACUAGAAUUUUCUGGAGCCCCUUUCUCUAGUUUCUUCUAGAGAUCUGGAAUAUCUCAGAUCACCAUGGGCAUUUUCCUCCCAGCACUUAUCAUAAUACCGCUUUGGGUGAUUACUUGAUUAAUGUCUGUCUCAUCCCUCCAGACUAUUCGUUUCCUGAGGACAGGGAUCCUGUCUGUUUGCUCGUCACUUUAUGCUCACUAACGCACAAGAGAUUGAAGUGUGUGUCAACGUGUGUAAGAUAUCGGGGAAAGAACCACCUGUCAGCCUUUUAGGUUGCAAGGUUGGGAGGGAUAUGGCAUCAAAGGUUGGGACCAGGCAGGAAGAGGGGCUGGUUCACCUCACAGUGGAAGGACAGAGAUCCUGACCACAGCAGCUGGUGAGGUGGUGUCUGGGAGCUGUGAGAGGCCAUUAUAUUUCAGGUCAUUGGGCUGCUCAGGGUGGCACAUGCUCAAAGUUCAAAGCCCAUCUGUGGGAAGAACUCCCACACUGGUCCUCCAGCUGACACAUAUCAUGUUCAUUUUAGACUCCAGUGUUUCUAUGCCUUCUUUAUCAAGAUGACUGGGGCAGGUGGAUAGAAAGGAAGAAAGGUGAGGGUCUCCCAGGCUACAGGAAGGUUAGGGUGAGUGGGAUGAGCAGUUGCCAUGGCUUAAAAAUGUCACCCAAAAAGUUGGGUUGGUAUUCUGUUGGGAGGGAAGCUGGCUGCAGAGGAGGAGGGCGAAGAAAAAAGGAGAAGUGAACACUCUCUUAGGAGAGUCUGGAGUGCACGCUGGCCCCAGUGGGUGGCCAUUUCUGCCACUGUCUCUCAGGUCUCCCCCCAGUUUCCACAGUGAAGAGAGCCCUGUCAUCUCUACCCCCAGGAAAGGGCUGCUCAGAUAAGGUGGCCCCUUUCAUCUGGAGCUGGGAUCCCACGUGCCCAUCAGGAAAUGGACUGGGGUGGCUAAUGCCCUGAACUCAGUUCCAGGAAGGAAGAAUAAGUGUACAUCAGCCAAAUUUUUAAAAGUUUCAUAAAAUCAAAAGAUUCCAUUCACCUCCAAACCAAAAAGUGAAGCAAACAAGCAAACAAAAACCCUCAAACAAUAGCAACAACAAAAACAGAGAAAGCUCCAAAGCAUAAAAUAAAAGCAAACGGGGUGUAGACACUAUCAAGUUGAACAAGGAGGAACAUCGUAACCUUCCUCGCCCCACGGUGGAUUUAAAAUCCUUCAUCCCAUGCUACUGUGGGAGAGCGCGGGGGCUUGGGUCUGGCCCCAGUUCUUCAGUAAAGGCUACCUAAUUUAGAGCCUGUUCCUUCUACAGAGCCGUGAGUGUCUAGGGGUGGGUGUGUUCACGUUGCAUCCACUGGGCUGGUACGAGGUACCCACCAGAUGCAUUCAGUUGAAGUUUAGGGAAUGAAAAGUGCUCUCAGAGUGGGAGGCCUUCUAGGGCCACCGCUUAGCCUCUAUUCUGGCAAGCGUGACCACAAUUUUGAUGCAUUCAUCAGGACAUGGAGCUGGGCUUCUUUGUGUGGCCUCCUCCUUGCCUUCUUGACAUUUAGGAGGCAGGACAAAUUGAGUUGGGGUGAAGAAGGAACAGCAAGACAGGGCCCUGGAAAAUGUGGGAUCGCUAGUGCUGGAGGGUCAUGUACAGCCCACUGGAGUCCAAAGACCUCAUUUUCGAUCUGAGACGACUGUGGCCAGGGCAGGGGGUGGGGUGAAGGGGAUGUGAACUUUCUUAGUUUUUUUUUUUUUUUUUGCCCUGCCUUUAUGAGGCUAGGUCUAGUGAGCAUUCACAGCCGGUGUAGCCUGGGGUGGUGAUCCCUGAGACUAGUCAGGCUCAGCCUAAGGUGACUUCUGUGGCUAGGGCUGCUUGCCCUGCCUGCCAGCCCCCGACGGAGCAAAGGAAGAUUUUUAACCCUGAAGCCCUUUAGGCAUGAAGGACUUGAGACCCAGUAUCAACAGAGGGCAGCUUAUCUUUGGAGGCCUGAGGGUUGCCUUAAGGCCAAAGUACAGCAGGAAAGACACAAGAGGACUUACUACAGAAUACUUUACCCUCCAAUGAACAUGUGCUGGGCUGCAGGGAGAGCCCCCCGAGGUUGGGCUGGACUUCCCCUCUCAGAUCAUCGCUUGGAGCAGCCCCUACCUGCUUCCACCCUUGCUGACUGCCACAAAGCCUGCUCUCCCACAUAGGUGGUACCGGGGUCCAGAAUGCUAGGAGAGAAGUCCCAAGUGCCCACCGCAAACGCUAUUCCAGAGGCAGAGGCAGAGGGCUUUGAGAUGGCCUGGCAUCAAACACAAAACAGGAAAGAAACGCAAGGACCUCCUUCUGCCAUUCAGUGUGAUUAGAAAUGACACCUCAGAGGAAAACUUGAUCACCAAGAGUGGUUCCUUGAUCUCUAAGCAAAAGAAGACUUGGUUUUGUGUGUUGAGAGAAAGAAGAAUAGGCAGAGGAUCAGACCAUGGGGAAAUAGGAUUGGCCUCAUUCCAGAGCAUAACACACUUUUUUGCAGAGGUCCCUGUUGCUCUCAGCAACCUACUGAUCAAGGAGGACAGCUUGAAGCACAAGGAAGUGAAGCUGCGGGGCUUCCUGCUGAUACUUACAGAAAGAAAGAGAAAUGGCCCUGCUGUUUCCCAAGGACAAGUCAGUUCAGCGCCCAGUGGGGCUCCAGGCAGCACCCCUCCCCUGUGCCCCGUGAGCUACCGGACCCUGCUGCGUCGGGCAUGGAUCCACCUCUGCCUAAGCCACUAGGCAUGUGGGGCGGUUGCUUGCAAAUCUGUCGACUGAGAGAAAUAGUAGUAGUUGGCAGUGCAGAACGAUGCCCAAGCUCCAGAGGCAAGUUCUGUGAUGCCCGAAGAGAGGAGGAAGAGUUGAGAGGAGGAAAAAACAAGUAAAGAAGCAGAUUUAUCCCUUGGGUGGGAUUUCUGUGCUAGUCCAUCAAGGAUGAAGCAUUUUCCUAUAACGCCAUGGCCCAGGGCCCCAGCAAAGGAUUUCUUUUGACUGUGCUCUCAAAUAAUGUCUGACCCUCACUGUGUCAUGGGGCCCAGUUCUCCCAAACCAGAAACUUGAAUGUCACCUUUGACCCCAGCACACUCAACACAUCCUUCCCCCAGCCUCUGCAGGAGGUUGUGCACCCACACAUGCACUCUCACGUCAUGGCCUUCAGAUCAGCCAGCUGUGGGCGGCCAGGCACCGGGGCAUCUGCACACAGAUUCCUGACUGGCCUCCCCGUUUCCAGGCUCCAGCCUUCUCGUCCUUUCCAUUCUCCCCUCACUGAGGAGUGCCUGGGGCUCCCCAGCUCACAGAACCUCCCACAGCUUCCUGUUGCCCACAAGUCCUAACUCUGUGACCUGAUGUGGAGGACCAGACCCUCCGAGGCCUCUGCUCCCUCCUGCUCUGUACCCCACUUUCUUCUGCACACCUUCCAAUUCCGUACCUAAAAACUGCCUCAAUUGUUUCAAAACACUUCGAGUGCACCCCCACCUCCUUUGACCUGCUAGGUAAGGUGCUCCCCCAUUGAGAAUCAGAUUUCAUUCAGAUUCCAACUUAGCUUCCCCUCCACAAUUGGGGGUCCCUCCCCCGGACUGAGGCUGAAGAUGCUCCUACAUACCAGGACUUCUAUACAGAGCUUACACACGGGUUACUUUCCUCUUGCUGCCUUGUAUGCAUGCCUAGAUAUGUGCGUUUUUCCAAAGACACUGUAAAUUCCUUGAGGGCAUGGAUUGUGUUUUGGGGUCCCCUGAAGCCUCAGCUUUGCACAAAGGGCCUGAAGAUGGGGUGCUUGCUGCCGGCUUGUGGGUUUAAGAUUCUCCUAUGACCCCUGGGAAUUAGAACUUUCAACUGGAGGGCCGCAUACUCAACACAAUGUCAAGUUUGGAUGGAAAGAAACCCGGGCUGAGAUGAAGUGAGUGGGGAGAAACGGAGAGAGGAAAGAAGACAGGUGAGAAGUGGCGCCUCGCAUUCUUGAAGGAGAAGGGAAGCUCUUUGUACUCAUCCACAGGGAAUGGCAACCCAGCCCCGGCCGCAGAGCGGCCUGAGUGGGAAUCACGAUCGCUGUGCAGAGUGUUGGUGGCACCAAGCCAGGCUUCGAGGACAAGUCCAGGGGCCAGAUGACCUAGCUGCAGGUCAGUGAGGAAGGAGGCAGGGCUGGAAAUCAUGUCCCAACACAACAAAUAUCAUCCGUUUAAGCUGAGUGAAUGCCUAAAGCCAAAACAGACCAACUUUCUAUCAGCCAGAGAAGAGUGGAGCAAAGAAUGUGUGUGCGGGUGUGCACCUGCCUUCACGUCCUCGUAUUCUCUCCUAUUCUGCUCACCCAGGGGGUGGCGAGGAUGUGCGGAGGGCCAGAGGACAGCAAAUAUCUUUGGUCAAACUAAAAGACUCUCUCCUCAAGUGAUUCCCAGGAUCUCACCCUCCUCAAAUGCCCUCUCAGGUGUCCCCAGACCCCAGCCAUUUGGAGGUGUGGGUGACAACCCACCUUCCACUUGAGUCUCAGGGCCAGGGAUGGUCCCUGCUAGGUAAAGGUUUUCUGAGUGGAGAAAAGAAGGAAAGGAGAAAAGAGUGGGAUCUGAAAGACGACGGGGCCCUCUGCCUGGCAGGGGAAAGGUGGGCAAAGGCUGGUGCCCAGGUCUGUGCAGGUUGCGGUGGCUGGCUGGCACUGUCCCCAGGGGCAGCGCCAGCUCCACACAGGAGCAGCACUCAACCUUCCCUUUCUCUCUCGUGGGCCAUCUUCUCCAUGCCCAUUCUCUUCUCAGCUCAGCUGACCUUCACUCCUUAAUCUUGUAAACGACUAGAAGAGAGAGUAAGUGGAUGGAAGAGUACUAGGCACACAUACAGAGAGGACAGCUGUGAAAAGGGAUGUGGGCUCAGCCCUGUGCAUGCCAAGCCUGAUCUCCCCCAGGCUUUUCCGGGAGCAAAACCUCCCUACACAGCUGAGCAGCUAGCCUGCUGGAAGUCAUGGUAGGUGGAGAGGAGCCUCUUGGAUCAGUUCAAAUUUGGAACUUUCCUUAGUAUCCCUGGAGAAUAAACUGUUUCUGGAGUGUAAGGCCAAAGAAAACACCCCCUAUUUCAUACAGCAGAGUUUCAUCCCGUGGGUUGCACACCGUUAGUGGGUUGUGAAAUCAACUUAGUGGUUUACUGCCAGCGUUGUAAAACAAUAGAUUAGAAACAAAAAUCUCAGGGUAUCACAAAAAGGGUAAGUAUUUUUUUCCCAGUAUAUAUACAUCUAUCCAUACCUAUGCCUAUACCUAUAUUAUAUCUAAAUAUCUCUGUGGGGAGGCAAUGCAAAGUUUGUUAAAUGUAUUUCUUACUGUGAUUUUGUGGUCAAGAAAGUUCAACUAACGUUAGCCUGGACAAACUCGUUGCUGAUAGACUCAUCUGGCCCUGGAGGAGCCAGAAGGAGCAAGCCCAUGUGGAGAAAAGUCAGAACUGAGGCUCUGGCCCAUUUUGGCCUCAUGGACCUGACAGCCCUUUUGGGCCCCUCCUGGAAUUAGGUGAGCACCUCACUGGGCGUUGGGUGGGAAGGGCUGUUGUGGGAAACCUUCUUUAGAGGCCCCUACGCGUAUUCUGGUUGUCUAAAUGCCAUGGCUCUUCACUGCUCUGGGUCCUCACGUUAGCUUCUGAAUCGUGCAGAUUGCUAAAAGAGAGCCCUGCCGAACUUGGGAAAACUGGAUAGCGCUAAGGUAGAAUGAGAAAACAGCAAUUGGUCAGCAGAUGUCAGCGGUCUUCUGGGGCGUGGUGCUGUUUGAGGUCGGGGCUGAGUACUUGCCCUUGCUAAAGCAUGAAAUCCAAGAGCCGCUGGAAGACUGAGAGGGGCCGGGCUUGGGGACCCUCUUCCUGGAAGAUCAUUAAGGAAAGCACAGGGGUCUGGGGAGAGGCAGGCCCUGCUGGAUGCCUCAAAGCAGUCACCUCUGAUAGCUGCAAGUUCUUUUCCUGUUCGAGAAAAAGAGUGCAAGGCUUUUUAUCAUUCAUCGCCGGGAUGCUCCACAAAUCACCGAGGAUUUGAGAAUAGCAUCCAGAAUGCUGAGAGAGGAGAAAGAAUAUGAAUGUGUGUGCACACACACAGGAUGCUCCCGUGUGCCGCUGGGUGGCGGGGCACUGACUACCAGGGUGCACUGCUGAGGCCAUUCCUGGGUUGAGCUGGUAGAGGUGCUACAAGGGAGAUGUCAUUUUUUUUUUUUUUAACUAAGAAAUUACAGAGUAUCUAGCACACUGCCUGGAACAUACUACGUGCUUAAUUUAGGGGGGUGAUUUUCCUAAAGAUUUCAGAAUGAUUUGUGCUUGUUAAUCACUGUGGAAUCCAGGAAGAGUGCUGUUCAAAGGUGUCUGUUCCUGUGGUGUGGGCAGCAUGCAGAAAUAACUGAAAUUAGGAUUCUCCUGUUAAAGGAAAGCUCCAGCUUUUAAAGCCCUCAUUAUUCUUUGCUUCUUUCAAAAUUCCUUUUAUCACCACUCCCGACCUCAGGUGAUCUGCCCGACUCGGCCUCCCAAAGUGCUGGGAUUACAGGCGUGGGCCACUGCGCCCAGCCCGAUCAUUCAAUUUUCAUAGUGUGGACUUGAGUCAGAUUAUUCUUCAUGGACAAAGAUUUCUGAGAAGGCUGGUUAGUAUAUAGCUGGAGAAAUAAGACAACUCAGAAACCCCAUUGGCUCUUUUAAACAAAUUUUACUCUAUUAAAAUUGGAGACAAACAUGUCUGUCAUCUCUCACUUUGGUAGUAGGGAGUAAGGGCUGCCGUACUCAACCAGGAUACCUAAUACACAGUUCUUGGUUCUCAAAUUUUGCACUGAUGUGCCCCUAGGACACUGCAGCAAGCUCACAGAACUGCCAAAGAAUCUUUAAAAAUUUUCAAAGUGGCAACAGUGGCAUCUGUCAGAUACCAUGUGUUGAGUUGUUUGGACCUAACUAUGUAUUAACAGAACUACUAGUUAUUUCUUUUAGCUUAGGGGCACUGCAAAGCGUUACUGAGAUCCCAAAGGAUCCUGAAUGGGGAAUGUUUGGCAGGCUCUCUGGGGCUCAGUGCACCAUCACCAGGUUCACAAUUGGAUGGCCACGCAGAAGCACACCUGUGCACAGACAUCUCUUCUGCACACCCACACCUUGGUCUUAUCUUUGGCCAGCUCCUUUGGACUUGGCAGUUGCUGAUUUGCUUCUUUACAAAAUGUGUGAGUUUGUCAUGAAUUUGGUCCUGAUUCACAGUGUCCACCGUUCAGCACCAGAGGCAGCCAUAACUCCUGCCUUUGGGGUAGGAGAGAGGUGGUUAGCUCAAAGGCUGUGAGAUUUCAACACUGGGCAAGCCUCCAAACUGACACCCAGGCUGGCAGAAUUUGCCUCUAGAGCCAUUGGGUAGUGGGUGGUCUCAUCUCCUUCCUGACUUUGUCCCCUUCUUCCUGGAAGGCCUCCAGCCCAGAUCUCUGUUUACCCUUUCCCUCCCAUCAGCUUUCCCCUGCAGGCUCUCAUAGGGCUGAUGCCACCUCUGCACCCCUCCCAGGUCUGUGUGCUCGGCUGCCUGUGGGCUUCGCGGCUCCACCGUUGCUCUCAACUGCCAUCGGAAUUUCCUCUCCUGAAGAUUCUCAGCAGUUGGUGCCCAGGUUCUGCAGCCAGGUGGACUAUGAGGCUCCAAGGCUGUCGGGAUUCAGACCUUGCUGUGGGGACCUGGCAGCUAGUAUACCAGAAACGCACAGUGAAUAUGUGAUGAAUCAACCUAAUAGCUUAAUUCCCAGCGAGAGUUUCAGGGCAGCCACAGCUGCGUGUGAGACCCCUAGUCACUGCUUCUCAUUUUCCAGGGGCUCUCUCUGCUUUAGCUGAAGAAAAACCUGAUGGGGGAGCCCAGGCAGGCCCAGCAGAGGGGGUCUGUGGCUGGGGGACAUCGGCCCUUCCGUGGACCUACUCUUUCCUGCUGCUCUCUUCAUUCUUUGGUAGUGCUCUCAUGUCCUUCCAGGCAGGUGGCUGAGUGCAUGCAGCCUACACAUAUGGGGCAGGGCUGGGGGGCAGAUUUAGGUGCUGGAUUUACUCAAUGUUUUUAUCUUUGCAUGGCAACAGGGAGAGGAGACUAAUAUCUCCAAGGCUGAGGCGCACACCUCACCCUCUCACUCUUGGGGGCCAGGCCUCUGGCAGCCUCUGGCUCUACCUCCCAGAGCUGCUGGGCCCUGCUGUCCUGAUGCCUUGCAGUGGGAGGUGGGAGGGACAGGGAGGGGAGCUGGAGGAAAGACUGCCCCACCUAUGACAUCCCCAGGCUCCCCAGUGUUGCUGCCUCUCCUGUAUCAGCUCUUGAGACCAUUUUAGAGGUGGAAAGAAACUGCUUUUUAGCACACAGAAAAAUACCCUGGCCAGGUGGGAUCUCGCUGGAGAUAAGCCUAUGGUUUAAGGCCUUUUAAGAAUGGAGGUUCAGGACUCAGGGCCCUUCUGGCGCUCUGCUCGCCAACCCCCCAUGUUAGGUUUGGGCAGGCUUGGAGGGGGUCUCCUGCCCGAAGACCUCCAGCCCCACUCUCCUGGUAGACCAAGGCCUUGCAGAUCAACUCUGUGUCCCUGGGAAGAGAAGUAGAGCCUGGCCUGGGCUCCUUGCUGCGUUUGGCUGAGCCACAGGCAGAGGGACACAUGGGAACAGCCCUGGGCACUGGGGUGUCCGGGACCCCAGCUACUACAGGGGCAAAGGAACAUCCGUGAACAGCUCCCACUGGGCCCGCCAUGCUUUCAGACACAAGAAAUAGCUCCACUGCCUGGGCCAACGUUCUGCUGGUUCCUCCUUUGAUGGUAGCAGUCAGGUCUUGUGCUAAGAGCUGGGCCUACAGGGAUUUAUUAUCCAGAAUGGCUGCUCUAGAGGGGGUGAUAGUUGAUUUGGAGAAAAAGCACACAUGCAUUAGUCACCUCAGUGUAACAGGGCUCUGUUCUGGCAGUGACGGGAUCACAGAGGAGGGCUCCCCAUCCAGGGCCUGUGUCCUUGAGAAGGUUUUGGAGCAGGGAGAGCCUGAGCUGAAUCCUGAUAAGAAAGCACUUAAGUCAUGCCAGGAGUGGCAUGUGGGGGAAUCCAGGGGUGGGGUGGGUAUGGGGACCUCAGCAUGGGGAAGGCACUGACGUGUGACAUAGCAAGGGUGAGGUUGCUGGGGGAACUGAGUAUUGAGGAAACAAGUGGAUGGUAGGAUUGCAGAAGGAAUGAGGGGCAAGGGGUGACAGGCUUGUUAGGCCUGGAUUUUAUUCUGUGAACUCUUCGGGGAAGAAGGACAGCCAGAGGGCCAGAUGGGCAUUUUGGAUGGAGCUUGCUGGCUGCAGUGUGCAGGGGACAGACAGACCUAAGUGAAGUCAAGAGUUGGGGCACAAGAGGAGGCCACUGCAAUGAAUGAGGCAGGAGAUGAAAAGCCCCAGUGAGGGUGGGAGAAGGGCAGGAGGGCUAGUGGGGAGGAGGGAAGGGGUUGCAGGUUCUGGGUGGGCUUGGGUAGAUGCCACCCAUUAAAAAAGGAACAGAGUUGGGAGGUGGGGGUGUUGAUGACAUUCGGUCUCUGUGGCCUCAAGGGAGACAGAAGUGGAGGUGUCUGUUGCUCCUGACCAGGCUGGGCGGUUGGAUAUCAACAUUCACAGGCUUCCUAAACCAGAGUCCAUGAGAUAGCGCCGGAAGUGUGAGGGGAACAGUAGGCAAGGACAUAUUCUUGAGGAUAGAUUAUAAGGGGCAGGUGGAGAAGACAGACGGGGCAGAGGAGGCCGGGGCUGGAGGCCUGGGGAGUGUGAUGCUGCUGAAGAAGAGGGCUGUCCCUCACAGACUUUGGGGGUCUUCACCCACUCUCUCUUCUCCCACCAGUCGAUGAACGGGUUGCUGAGGGGAGUGAGCAGUCUUAAGGGCUGAUGUUUUUCCCUCAGGUGCCUAACACUAUGUUUGACAUACACUUGGUGCUAAAUUAAUGUUAGUGAAAUCCACUGAACACAAAUGUGGCACAGAGGCCAGUGAGAGGAGGACUGGAAACACUGGUGGAUUUGGCAAUGGUCAGGGGGAUGGUGAGCCAUUUGGUAGACGAGUUUGGGGGACAGAAGCUAGACUUCAGCAGGCUGAGGAGGCAGUUUUUUGGGUGGAGUCGGGGGGGGAUGAUGAGGAAGUGGAAGACAGUGAGUGUCUCAGUUCCUCAUAAGAGUUUGUCUGAGACAGGAAGGAGAGAAAGUGCCAAGCUCACAUUUUGCGACUAGAGCAUUUUCUAAGAAUUUAAAAGAACGUUUGUUGCUCCUCUUUCUCCUCGAAACACGGCAUGUUCCUUGUAGCAAAGUUAGAAAAAUACAUAUAAGAAGAAAAAAAACUUCUGUAAUUCCGUCCAUUAGAAACAUAUCCUGUUCAAUCUCAUAGUAAUUUCCUUCUGGACUUCUUCUGGCUUUGUGUUUUAGUAGAAAUGGUAUCACUCAGUGCAUUAUUUUGCAGCAUAUCUGUUUCACUUAAUAGUUCAUGAAUACCUUUCUCUUGUCGAUGCUACUCUUCUUCCAAAACAUCCUUUAAACUUUUAUUGACCUCUCUAUCUCAUAUCUGGGAUUCAAAUGCUUCGAAAACCAACAGGUGCAAAAGUGCGUUCAGGGGAAGGUUGCCCCUUUUAUUUUCUGCCUUGGAGCUCACUCUUUUUUGCUCCCUGGAGGCAACUGACACUCCUUUACAAGCAGCAAAUUUAGUAGUUAGAUCAUAUUCCAUUGCAUAAAUGUUCCGAUAUGUAUUUAUUUUUUAAUUUUUAUUUUUUUGAGACAGGGUCUCCUUCUCCAAUAUUUAUUAAAAUAGCUUUCUGUCUUGAAUAUUUGGAUGUUACUGUUUUAUUUUGCUAUUAUACGUAAGGUUAUGAUGAAUGUCCUUCUGGCUAAAUCUUUGCAUACAGACUUCAUUUUGUUAGAAUACAUUUUUAGAAGCAGAAUUUCUGGGUCAGAAGGCAGGACAAAUUAAAAUCCAAUAUCAGAUUUUUACCUCCAAAACAAGCUGUAUCGAUUGACAUCCCCUAGCAAUGCACGAGAAUGUUUGUAUCCCCACCUAGGCCCUCCACCUGUGUUACUAAAAUUCACUUCCUCAAACUGUGGAAGUGAAAGGUGCGUGUGGGUGAAAGGUGCGUAUGAGGGCCUCUAAUCCUCAUUGUGAACUGCACUUUUAAAGGGUGCAAGUAGCAUCUUGGGGAAAAAUAGGAGACUAGGUGAUGGCUCCAGGGAGGUCAGCUCUGAGUCCCCAGGGUGGGCUGACCUGUGAGAAGAGCAGAGGAGACUAUCUAGCAUGGCUUGAGGUGGCUGCCUUGCAGUGGGUGCAAAGCCCAGGGACAGGAUUCUUCAUUUUUUCAGAAACUCCCAGGUUGAAGGGGGAGGGCCCCAGGCCAUGAGAAGCAAGAAGGCCAUGAACGAUUCAGAACCUGAGGUCGAGGGACCACUGGCAUGCAGGCAGGAUUUUUGUUUUUCCCCCUCAAAGAGACUAUGGUGAUCUUUUUCUGACAACUUACUGGUGCACUAAAAGGGGUUCCUGGAACAGGGUUGGGGGUGCUGGUGGUGAAUGCUCUUGGGUGAUCAAAAUGUGCCUCGCUCUUGAAGAGUUUGCCCCGUGCACAGGCUUGGGGUAGGAGCCUGUGUCCUUGUGUCCUCUGAUACUGGGCUGUGCUGCUUGGGGAAGGGACAAUAAAGACUGCUUUCAUGCACCCAGCUGAGAGUGGGGCAAGGGACACCAAGGGUUCCCUUAUUCAUAAACCCCAGAUUUUAGAAAGUUUGCACUGAAGGGUGAACCUGGACAUUGAGAAGAGUAGGAUAUUCCCUCAACAUUCACCUACGCUUUAGGUUUCUCUAAACAAUUCUUGCUUUUAAGAGUUGGAACCAACCCAAAUGUCCAACAACGAUAGACUGGAUUAAGAAAAUGUGGCACAUAUACACCAUGGAAUACUAUGCAGCCAUAAAAAAUGAUGAGUUCAUGUCCUUUGUAGGGACAUGGAUGAAACUGGAAAACAUCAUUCUCAGUAAACUAUCGCAAGGACAAAAAACCAAACACCGCAUGUUCUCACUCAUAGGUGGGAAUUGAACAAUGAGAACUCAUGGACACAGGAAGGGGAACAUCACACUCCGGGGACUGUUGUGGGGUUGGGGGAGGGGGGAGGGACAGCAUUAGGAGAUAUACCUAAUGCUAAAUGACGAGUUAAUGGGUGCAGGAAAUCAACAUGGCACAUGGUUACAUAUGUAACAAACCUGCACAUUGUGCACAUGUACCCUAAAACCUAUAGUAUAAUUAAAAAAAAAAAAAAAUUCUUGUUUUUACCACAUGAGCCUCAAGGGCCAACUCCUUCUGUUUGGGGUUUCUGCACUACUCUAGGCAGGGUAAGUCUCUAGACGACUUAGUUUCUUAAAAACUGUAGGACAAAAAGGAGAAAUAAACAAGAUAAUUUGACUUCCAAUACAUAGUCACAUGUCUUUGGGUUAGAGUUGCAAGAUGUCUCCCUGGAUUUCUGACUCUCAAGUUUGGGAAUCCAAAUUUCGGCCCUACCCCUCAGAGGCACCUACAAGGAACAUAAGCUUCCUUGACGUUCACCUUAGAGAGCUGGCACCAGAGUGAAAUGGGCAGCUCCAGUCCACUCUCUGUGAAUUUGGAGCCAUACCUUGCUCUUACAGUUUGCUUGUCUCCCAGCUAUUCUUUCCUGUUGAUUAUGCUUUUCAAAUACGGUUUUAUCCAAGGCAUAGUUUUGGGCCCAGGUGACGUUUCCCCAUCCUGCACUCCAGAUGGAUUCUUCAUUAGCCUCUGCAUUCAUUCCCUAGGGCUGCUGUGAAAGAUGACCACAAACUAGGUGGCUUAGAACAACAAAAAUUUAUUCUCUCCCGGUUCUGGAGGCCGUAAGUUUGAAACCAAGGUGCCAGCAGGGUUGGUUCCUUCUGGAGCCUAUGAAGGAGGCUUCCAGUGGCUGCCAGCAAUCCCGGCUGCUCCUUGGCUUUUAGACACGUGGCUCCAAUAUCUGCUUCCAUCAUCACAUAGCCUUCUUUUCUUCUUUGCAUGUCUUCUCUUCUUAGGAAGACACCAGCCACUGGAUUCAGAGUGUACCCCCAUCCAGUAUGACCGCAUCUGAAGUGGGAACAUUAGCAAAGACUCCAUUUCCAAAUAAGGUUACAUUCUGAGGUGCUGGGUGGACAUGAAUUAUUUCGGGGCAACCAUUCAGCCCAUUGCGGUCUCUCUGCCUUCAGACUCCUUCUACCUGUCCAUGCCACGGACCCUGCUGGAGUCAUUUUUCUCAGCCCUCAUGCAGUGGAAGUGCCCCACCCCUGCUUUCAAGCCCUUCAAAGACUCCCCACUGCCAACAGAAUAAAGUCUUAUCUCUUUAGCUCAACUUAUGAAGACUCACCAUAGUCUGGCCCCUAUGAUCUUUUCUACAUUCCAUUUCUCCAUUUCUCCUACACACUCCCUACCAUCCCUGGGAAAGGUCUUCUAUGUUGUUGAACAUGCUGUGAAUGCUCUUUUCUCCUGCCUCCUUCUGUCUGUUGCUGAGAUGCUCUUUUUCUCGAACACCCGUGUCUUAUAUCUUUCCUUGUUCAUGAGGUCUUUUCUAGCCAGCCCAUGUCAAAGGGCUCACCUAUCUCUACAGACCAACCCUAGCCCAGGACCAAUCCUGUCCUCUACUGGUGACAUUUCCAUUUUCCAUUUCCAUUUUACCCAGGGGCAAGCCCGUGUGCUAUACUUCUUUGGGUCCUUGGUUUUGACAAUGGUGUUCGGAACAGGUGGCUUCAUGGUCAAUGAUUUUGUAUGCUGCUGCUGGUGUGAGCAUGCUGAAUUGCUCCAUGCCUGCAGCUCCCUCUAAAGCCGAUGGAGAGCCCUGUGCUGAGAUGAAAUGGGGGGAAAGGAGAAAUUUAUUGCCACUUUGAGAGUCAAAGGCAGUGGCCUUUCCAAGGAAGAGUGAACUAGCAGAAUCACUGCAGGAGAAGCAAAUUCUGGAGGCUGGAUGCCAAGAGGUGCUGUAGGAAAAGUUUAAAGAUAUAUGUGGGGGAAACCACUGCUCCCAUGCUCCUUGGGAGACAAUUGGCAAACAACAUAGUUGGCAAAGGAUAGGGACUGGGAGGGAAGUAAAAGAGGAGACAGAGUGCAAUGAACAGAAUAGAUGCCAAUGGCCUUAUCAGCUUUAACAGAUGAUCUGAAAACUUUAAAGUAACAAGGAAGUUUUUAUUCCCAUAAUUGUUAGUAGUGUCUUUUGCUAGCUCCUCCGAUGUGACAGUGAUUGACCAUUGGCAGCUGGGUCUUCAAACUCUAUCUUAAAAUGUUGCCUCUCUAUGGGGACACAUGAGGAACUUAGUUCUAUUUGGAAGUAGGUGUCUUCUAAGCUUUCUUGUGUCGUGUACUCUGUAUUCUUUUUUUUUUGACUAUGUCUCAGCUGCAUCAAAGCCCCAUUAACAUUGCCUUUCGGGAUCAAAAAGUAGUCCAUCCGAGAGGAAAGAGUAGAGUUUUAGAGAACUGGGGUGAGAAUUCUGGGCAGAUGGCCAAGGUGUGGGCUCCAGGCUGAGCUCACUGACACAUGACAUUGUGUGUUUCAGGUACUGGGACAAGUUUCCAAUGUCAAAAUCUUUGAAGCCACCAGGGCCUUUUUUGUUUUGUUUUUUGGCUGGAUCUUGGCAGUACUCCUUCAUAUAGUAGUAGGUUCAGAAACUCAGGCUAAGGAAAGCAUCCAGAAAAGAUUGUCUGCCUCUGCAACAGUUUGUGGAUAGCUUGUAAUUGUAGUUCUGAUCUUGUCAAUCUGUCUUAUAAAUGUGUGGUCUCACCUGGCUAGAUACAGAAAAUACCUAUCUUCUUAUAGAAGCAGGCAAUCCUCAACCCCAUUAAAAAAUUAUGGUUUCUUGCACAUUCCAUCUAAUACGAAUGCCAGUUUGCCUCCUGAUAUGUUGCCAGUCUGGCCAUUUCAGCAGUCACUGUUCAGCACUAGAGGAGGAAUUCAGUUAAAGUUCCUUUGUCAGUAAGUCUUCCACACAACAUAUUUGUUUCCAGGUCCUAAUGGCAAUUCCUCAGGAUCUGGAAAAAAAAAAAAAAAAAGGAUCAACUCUCACGUUUGAGUUUGUCCCAUUCAUCUACAUAAAGACUAUCCAUCAGUUUGAAGUGUCUUUUUGAGAAUCAGAAAGGGGAGAGGAUAUAGGGGGCAAAGGAUGUAUUCUUUGAGAUCCUGCUCUUAAGUAGUGAUUCUUCUCUAGCACUCCUUAUUUCUAGAAUUUUCCAGCCAUCUCUAACAAAAGCAAAGUACAAAGAGCAUUUAAUACAAAACAAAACGUGAAGUGAUCUUUUGAUGGUUCAGUGUCAUGGCUGUGACUUGGAAUUUUUCACUACAUUAAAAAAAAAAAAAAGCCACAUACCCAGGUAGUCUCUGCAUCAAGUCUGAUACCAUUGCUCCGAUGUUACGAGGCUGAAGCGGUUGUGGCUGAUUGAUGUCACUCUUCUAGGCAUUUCCUAUUUCUAGAGAGAGAGACCGGGUUAAUCCAACUCCAGUCUAACUUCGAAGGCAUCAAGCAUUCUAGGCAGUGUCUCCCGUGUUUCUUUUUCCAAGUGAAUUCCUGGAGAGAAACAAUGACGUCCAUGUGUCUUUGCAUCCCCAGGGACCAGCUCAGUAACGGGCACAUAAGAACACACUGAAAAAAAUUGUUUUGUUUUUGAAUGACAGCGAUUUAAAAGUAGUAAGGUCCUCGUAAAUAUAGGACAUCGUACUCGUGUUUCUCUUCUGAGCGUGCAAAUACUUGCAAUGAGGUUGCACCGCAGACUCAAUAGCCAUUGUGGCACCUGGGCCUCUGUGACUUGGAGGCAGAGGAGAUGGAAUGCCGGCAAGAAGAGGGAGAUUGUGGUGUGGAUGUGAGGGAUGAGGGUGCAUUAAUUUCCUAUGGCUGCUGUUACAAAUUUACCGCAAGAUAAAUGAGUUAAAACAGUACAGAUUUAUUAUCUCACAGUUCUGGAAGACAGAAGUUCAAACUACUGGCCAAGUUCAAAGUGUUGGCAAGGCUGUGCUGCUCAGGAGGCUCUAGAGGAGAUCCUUUUUCUUGCCUUUUCCUGUUUCUAGGGGCCACCUGCAUCCUUCGGCUCAUGGUCUCUUCCUCCAUCUUAAAAGCCAACUUCUUCAAAUCCGUUUCUAAUUCUGACACUACUUCUCUUGCCUCCUUCUCUCACUUAUAGGGGUCCCUGUGAUGACAGUGAGCUCACUCUGAUAAUUGAGGCUAAUCUCCCCAUCUUAGGGUGAGCCUAUUAGCAACCUAAAUUCCACUGGCAACUUUAAUACCCCCCUUGCCAUGCACCGUGACAUAUUCACAGGUUCUGGGGAGGAGGGCAUGAGCAUCUUUGUCGGGGCAUUGUUCUGUCCAUCACAGAGAAGCACUCAGAGAUGCUGGACUCCAGUGUCCUCAUUCUACACUUGAGGAAGCUUGGGCUCAGAGGCUUUAUGUUAAUUCCAACAGUUUUCGCAACAGGAGGAGGAGAAUGUCUGUCUAGGAGACCUAAUCAAGACUCAGCAGGAUGCUGGUGGCUUCCUCUCCUUCCUUCCUUCCAGUUCUUCUUUUGCUUCCUUCCAGUUCUUCCUUCUACAUAUGGGGCCCGUCACAUUCCCACUGACUCAGAUGCUGAGGGGCCAGACUGAAGGGACAGUGGUCAUUGCAUCAAGUCAGAGAACAGAUCUGACCCAUCUAGUUCCUCCUUCUACAUCUGUGCCUCAUCCCAUUUCCACUGACUUAGAUGCCGAGGGGCCAGACUGAAGGGACAGUGGCCAUUGCAUCAAGUCAGAGAACGGAUCUGACCCAUCUAGUAGAAGCUUAUUGUUUUGGCAGAAGCACAAGCUCUUAGAGUUGCAGCUGCAGGAUAUGACCUAUUGGGGACAUUGAGCUCAGUGACCAUGGGCCCUGAGAGUCUGAAAUCCUGGAAUUUCUCCCAAAACAAAGUCCAUGUAGGGAAGUCAAAGUGUGAGUCUUACCCGGCUGGUUUAUAACUGACUGACAUUUGCUGCCUGGGCAGCUGCCGUGGGUGCCUGGAAACCCUACUGGACUAGCACUGGCCCUGGCAAAAAACAAGUGUUUCAGCUGCCCAGUGUCCUCUUGAGUGGAUGCUGGUGAUUCUGGUAUGGAGCCCAGGUGUAAGGCAGCAGGUGGUCCAGAAGGCACCAGAAGAGGUCUCCUGUCAAGGUCAGGGCCAGAGAGGAAGGCACAGGGAACCUUCUGCAUGAGACUUUCACUUGCAAAGAGCAGCCCAUGAUGAGGAGGGAGGAUGCCUGGGGGCAUUGAGUCUCAUCCAUAAGGACACCUUUUCCAAGUUACUUCAUUUUGUAUAGCUGCCCAGUCCCUCACCCUCACCACUGUACCAAGAGCUGGCAGCUGACAACAAUACAUCUUCUGACCAAGAUCCCUUCUGGGACCAAGGACAAAAGGACCUAAGACCUUCUUGCCUGGAAAGUGAAUUCCUCAGAACUCUGCGAUGAUGCCAGUCUUGGAGGAAGACGAGGUGUUGAGAGAUAGCUGGGAUCCCUGAGGAAGGCAGCCCCAGUCUCCGGUGGAGAAUUACAAGGGACCCAAGCAGAUGGUUGGUGGAAACGUCACCUCAGUAUAGUACUAUAGAGUUUCCUUUCACCCCCAACGGCUGAUGGUUUCCAGGGGCGAAGAGUGAAAAUUGAAGCAAGGUGUCUACUGUCCAGCUGCAGACAAGGAGGCAGGGCGCCUGCCACCCUCAAGGAAGAGUCAGUUCAGAAGCACAGCAGCUGCUGGAAACCCAGGAGGUUUCCAGUUCAUUCCCGCUGGGACCUGGCAAGAGUUGCGCUGUCAAGGCUGCAAGAGGCUCCGGACGGCUUCUGACAUGUACAGACUGGAAUAAGAGAACCUAGCAGAAAUGGAAGCAGAGGCAAGAGGUCUGGAGGCCAGGAAAAUGUCAAUGGAAAGCAGCUAGCAUGAAGACCCCACAGUGUUCCUCCCUCUAGUAGUCUGGUAUUAUCUGGAGCUGAGAUGCUCCCAAUAUGGUUGGGACAUUUGUCCCCUCCAAAUCUCAUGUGAGAAUUUGAUCCCCUGUUUUGGGGAUGGGGUCUAGUGGGAGGAGGUUGGGUCAUUAUGGGGGACCCCUCAUGAAUGGCUUGGUGCCCUGCUCACCAGGAAUGAAUGAGCUCUCACUCUACUAGUUCACUGGAGAGCUGGUUGUUUAAAGAGCCUGGCAUCUCCCCCACUUUCUCUCUUGUUCCCCCUUCUCACUGUGAUAUACCUGCUCCCCUUUGCCAUCCAUCAUGAGUGGAAGCUUCUUGAAGCCUUCACCUAAAGCAGAUGCCGACACUAUGCUUCCUGUACAGCCUGCCAUACCAUGAGCCAAAAUAAACCUCUUUUCUUUGUAAAUUA